GAGAGGGGAAGGAGCUCUUGCCAGAACACAGGAGCAACUGCCCCUGCUGGCCGGGCCUGGCUGCCGUGCCAGCUGCAGCCAUCACCCCGGCUGCCACCCCAGCCACAGCUGCCAUGCCAACUGCAGCCACCAAAUCAACCACAGCCACCACUGCAGCAUCUGCCAGCAGAGGUGGAGACUACGCUUGCCGGGGGAAUAGGUUAUACUGGUACAAGCAGACCCUGGUUCCUGCACACAGCACCAAGACAGUGGAGUUCCUCACAGGAGCAUGAUUGACAGACUCUGGGACUUGGAAUGAGACAUGGUUCAUGCCCAAAGUUCACCAUCAUCCUCAGAAAACAGAAGCCCCACAGCAUGCUCUCAAUGGACCUCAAUAAUUGGACAGCUUUCCAGUGACCUGAAGGAUUAUGCAUCAAGUCAAGACUGUAGAUUUACUGAAUCAAUGAAGAAAGUAAAUUAAUUGUUAAAUAUUCCAGUAACCAAGAAUAAUCAUCUAAUCACAAAACACUCAAACAGUUCAAAAGCCUCUAAUAAUAAUUUAUUAUAAAAAAUAACAAGAUCCAUUAGAAGAUGUCUGUGGACUGAAAAAUAAA